rnacentral:lncRNA from 1 species
GUUUUCUAAAAGCAACUGAGGAUUGGACACAAAGGGCUAUGAACAUCUCUGAGAACAGAACAAGUGACCAGAAGAUGCUGUCAGUGUGGAAGGUAAUUGCUGGACUGAAGAGUUACCAUUCCUGUUUCUUUCCCCAUCUGGCAAGG